ACAGCUGUAGCUCAGUUGGCAGAGCGCUCCCCUGAUAAGGGAGAGGCCACUGGUUCGAUGCCAGUCAGCUGUACCA
rnacentral:tRNA from 1 species